UACAGAGGCCUCGAGCGUUUAGGCGGAAUCACUGGGCUUAAAGCGUGUGUAGGCGGACUUCUAAGUACCUUGUGAAAUCCCACGGCUUACCCGUGGAACUGCUCAGUAUACUGGUUGUCUUGAGCCACCUAGGGGCGAGUGGAACAAAUGGUGGAGCGGUGAAAUGCGUAGAUAUCAUUUGGAACGCCAAUGGUGAAAACAACUCGCUGGGGGUGUGCUGACGCUGAGACACGGAAAGCCCAGGGGAGCGAACGGG
rnacentral:rRNA from 1 species